GUGGAUAUAGCUCAGUUGGUUAGAGCAUCGGCUUGUGGUGCCGAGGGUCGUGGGUUCGAAUCCCAUUAUCCACC